rnacentral:misc_RNA from 1 species
AGAAGUAAAAGUCGUAACAAGGUUUCCGUAGGUGAACCUGCGGAAGGAUCAUUCAUAAUAAAGUGUUUUAUGGCACUUUUUAAAAAUCCAUAUCCACCUUGUGUGCAAUGUUAGAUCUCGUCAAUCUUGGCGAGAUUUUUAUACAUCAACUCAUUCUUUAACUAAUUUGUCUGAAAAAUAUUAUGAAUACUUAAUUCAAAAUACAACUUUCAACAACGGAUCUCUUGGCUCUC